rnacentral:rRNA from 1 species
UGAAUACGAGACGCUAAGGCGUUGAAGUAGUGUAUGUCAUACUUCCAAGAAAAGCUUGCACUGUCAUAGAUAAAAAACGCCUGUACCAUAACCGACACAGGUGGGUAGGUAGAGUAUACUAAGGGGCGCGAGAUAACUCUCUCUAAGGAACUCGGCAAAAUAACUCCGUAACUUCGGGAGAAGGAGUGCCUUAUUUAUAAGGCUGCAAUAACAAGAUCCAAGCAACUGUUUAUCAAAAACACAGGUCUCCGCUAAGUCGUAAGACGAUGUAUGGGGGCUGACGCCUGCCCAGUGCCAGAAGGUUAAAGAAGUUGGUUAGCAAUAGCGAAGCUGAUAACUGAAGCCCUGGUGAACGGCGGCCGUAACUAUAACGGUCCUAAGGUAGCGAAAUUCCUUGUCGGGUAAGUUCCGACCCGCACGAAAGGCGUAAUGAUUUGGAUACUGUCUCGGAGAGGGGCUCGGUGAAAUAGACUUGUCUGUGAAGAUGCGGACUACCUGCACCAGGACAGAAAGACCCUAUGAAGCUUUACUGUAACUUGAAAUUGAAAUUGGACUUUAUUCGCGCAGUAUAGGUGGGAGGCGUUGAUUGUAAUCUUGCGGGAUUAUUGGAGCCAUCAGUGAGAUACCACCCUUGUAAUGUUAGAUUUCUAACUUUGAAUCAUUAUCUGGUCAAAGAACAGUUUCAGGCGGGCAGUUUGACUGGGGCGGUCGCCUCCUAAACGGUAACGGAGGCGUACAAAGGUUUCCUCUGAACGGUUAGAAAUCGUAUCUAGAGUGUAAAGGCAUAAGGAAGCUUGACUGUGAGACCUACAAGUCGAGCAGGGACGAAAGUCGGUCUUAGUGAUCUGACGGUACUGAGUGGAAAGGCCGUCACUCAACGGAUAAAAGUUACUCUAAGGAUAACAGGCUGAUCUCCCCCAAGAGUUCACAUCGACGGGGAGGUUUGGCACCUCGAUGUCGGCUCAUCGCAUCCUGGGGCGGUAGUACGUCCCAAGGGUUGGGCUGUUCGCCCAUGAAAGCGGUACGCGAGCUGGGUUCAGAACGUCGUGAGACAGUUCGGUCCAUAUCCGGUGUAGGCGUUAGAAUAUUGAGAGGAGCCUUCUUUAGUACGAGAGGACCGAGAAGGACAUACCUCUGGUGUACCAGUUAUCGUGCCAACGGUAAACGCUGGGUAGCUAUGUAUGGAGUGGAUAACCGCUGAAAGCAUCUAAGUGGGAAGCCCACCUCAAGAUAAG